GGCGGCGCGCGGCGCGAUCGGACCCCAGAACUCGCGGGGCCGGACCGCCGUCGCCGGGACGCCGUCCCGCCUGACGCACUUCCUCCCGCACAGAGGACGCCGCAACCGGUCGGGUCGCUGCGCGAGUCGGCCACGAGGGCGGGCGCCGGCAGGUGGCCGGGGGAGUCGCCCCGCGCGAUCUCUUUUCCCCGGUCGUUAGCCAGCCCGCCCGUGGCGCGACACCCGACCGAGGUCCAGCGUCCCUCCCCGUCCCCUCCCUCGCGGGGAGGCGGGGGGGACCGGCCGUCCCCUGCUCGUCCAGCGGGCGUGGCCAGCAGGCGAUUUCCGUCUCCGCGUCGCCGCGUCACUCCCCGCAGUGGCCGGCGCGCCGAGUCCGCCGUUGGUCGGUCACUCGUCCCGCGGGGGUCCUCCGGAGGUUGGCGGCGAGUAGGUCGGUCACCCACCCGACCCGUCUUGAAACACGGACCAAGGAGUCUAACAUGUGCGCGAGUCACGGGGUCUUGGACAGGCCCAGAGGCGCAAUGAAAGUGAGGGUCGCUCGCGGCCGCGUUGGGACUCCCGUCUCGAGAGAGGGCGGGAGGCACCAACGGCCCGUCCCGUCCGAUUCAUCGGUGGGGCGGAGUCCGAGCGCACACGUUGGGACCCGAAAGAUGGUGAACUAUGCCUGGGCAGGACGAAGCCAGAGGAAACUCUGGUGGAGGUCCGUAGCGGUUCUG
rnacentral:rRNA from 1 species